GACAGAGGAUGCAAGCGUUAUCCGGAAUGAUUGGGCGUAAAGCGUCUGUAGGUGGCUUAAAAAGUCUCCUGUCAAAGAUCAGGGCUUAACCCUGGGCCGGCAGGAGAAACUCUUAGGCUAGAGUUUGGUAGGGGCAGAGGGAAUUCCCGGUGGAGCGGUGAAAUGCGUAGAGAUCAGGAGGAACACCAAAGGCGAAAGCACUCUGCUGGGCCACAACUGACACUGAGAGACGAAAGCGAGGGGAGCAAAAGGG
rnacentral:rRNA from 1 species